rnacentral:rRNA from 1 species
AACGAACGCUGGCGGCAUGCCUAACACAUGCAAGUCGAACGAGACCUUCGGGUCUAGUGGCGCACGGGGGCGUAACGCGGGGGAACCUGCCCUUAUGCUCCGGAUACCUCUCCGUCAGGGGUGCUAAUACCGGGAAACUUCUUCGGACCCAGGAUUCAACGCCCUUGGGUGGGCCGGAGUUGGUUUAACUUGUUGGUAGGGUAAAAGCCUAUCACGGCGACGCUCCAUAGCGGGGCAGAGAGGAUGAGCAGCCACACUGGGACUGAGACACGGCCCAGAAUCCUACGGGAGGCAGCAGUGGGGAAUAUUGGACUAUGGGCGAAGGGCUGAUCGAGCUAGGCCGCGUGAGUGAUGAAGGCCGUAGGGUUGUAAAGCUCUUUUACCCGGGACGAUAAUGACAGUACCGGGAGAAUAAGCACCGGCUAACUCCGUG